rnacentral:rRNA from 1 species
UACGAAGGGGGCUAGCGUUGUUCGGAAUCACUGGGCGUAAAGCGCACGCAGGCGGAUUGAUAAGUCAGGGGUGAAAUCCCGGGGCUCAACCUCGGAAUUGCCUUUGAUACUGUCUGUCUUGAGUCCGGGAGAGGUGAGUGGAAUUCCUAGUGUAGAGGUGAAAUUCGUAGAUAUCAGGAGGAACACCGGUGGUGUAGACGGCUUUCUGGACCGUAACUGACGCUGAGACACGAAAGCGUGGGUAGCAAACAGG